GACGAACGCUGGCGGCGUGCUUAACACAUGCAAGUCGAACGGAAAGGCCUGCUUUCCCUUGUGGUUUGCGGGUACUCGAGUGGCGAACGGGUGAGUAACACGUGAGUGAUCUGCCCCCAACUUGGGUAUAAGCCUGGGAUACUGGGUCUAAUUCCCGGUAGGACUGCAGGGUGGUGCCGGUGGUGGACAACGAUUUUCUAGUGGUUGGGGAUGAGCCCGCGGCCUAUCAGCUUGUUGGUGGGGUAAUGGCCGACCAAGGCGGGGACGGGUAGCCGGACUGAGAGGGGGGACGGCGACAUUGGGACUGGGAUACGGCCCAGACUGCUACGGGCGGCAGCAGUGGGGAAUAUUGGACAAUGGGCGGAAGCCUGAUGCAGCGACGGCGCGUGGGGGAUGACGGCAUUCGGGUUGUAAACUCCUUUCGACCGCGAGGAAGCCACCUGGUUGGAAGGGUGGUGACGGUAGUGGUAGAAGAAGCACCGGCUAACUACGUG
rnacentral:rRNA from 1 species